rnacentral:rRNA from 1 species
AUGAACUCAAGGGGCACAAAUGAGAGUGAUACAUUGUAUUGUGUCUAUGUUGCAAUUGGACAAAAACGCUCGACUGUGGCACAAUUAGUUCAAAUUCUUUCAGAAGCGAAUGCUUUGGAAUAUUCCAUUCUUGUAGCAGCCACCGCUUCGGAUCCUGCUCCUCUGCAAUUUCUGGCCCCAUAUUCAGGGUGUGCCAUGGGGGAAUAUUUCCGCGAUAUGAAUGCACGCAUUAAUUAUAUAUGA